rnacentral:misc_RNA from 1 species
UCAGAUAAUACUCUUCGUCCCGCAUUGAAGUAAUCCAUUUCCUGCAACACUUGAACCAAAAUAAAGGCCAGCGAUGGAGUUGUUAUGGUGGUGUUUUACUCUGCUGCAGGUAGUGUCGUCUGCUAUAGCAUCUUGCGAAAACCCAGUUAUUUCCAGUGGAAAUUAUUCAGCGGUUGUGUUCAGCCAGGAAUCGCUGCUAUUAAACUGUUCUGCUACCUCUUACGAUCAGAUACAGUGGUUUCAUUUGCCCAAUGGAAAAACGAAGGUUGAGCCAUACCAAUUUACUUGGUGUAAAGAUGACACAUGUAGGCUAUACGAUGACCCCAGAAUGCUUAACAUCAGAAAAGUCAGCACGGAGCUGAGUUUCAGUAAAUUUAUCUGUGUAGCAUCCUGCUCUGCGACCGGGAAAAAUGCUUCAGCUUAUGUUUUGGUUAUUGUUGAAAAAUGUGCAACUGAUAAACCAAUCGUCGUAUCAGUCCAAAAUGUUACCGUCAGCCUCGGAGAAACAGCAACCCUCACGUGCAAGGCACAUAUGGGGACUUGUUAUGAACUGAGUAUUCCAAAUUUUUCGUGGGUCGGGAACGGCAAGAAUAUAUCAGAACUGAACACUACAAAUAGAUACUCAACUGAUGUAAAAUUAAAUGAUACCGGGAAACUGGUGACAACGCUAACCAUACGUGACGUCACAGAAGAAGACCCUCAGUCAUUUGACUGUAUCCUAACUGAUAACCAUUUUGAAGAAGGCCACGUUAGGAAGACAAUAUUUCUCUCAUUAUCAGAGUCCAGAUCGCAAGCGUCUUCCUCCAUUUACAUUGCCGUUGUCGCCACAGUGUCACACAUCAUUCUUAUCGUGGUUACUUUCCUCCUAUGCUGUUGUUAUUGCCAAUGGUGAAUUCGGUAUAAAUGUUGGAAGCCGAAAACUCUGAAUAAGAGAGAAGUGAACAAGGCGUGGGAUGCCUUGGUUUGGCAUGAUGACGAGCACGUGCAGGAGGCUAGUACUCUGCUGGCGAAGUUGGAGAACAUUGGGUACCGAGUCUGUACAAAGGAAGACCAAACUAGCGGCCAAGAUCUACAGGGUUUGGAGGCAUUGAUCGAUUCCAGCGCAUGCGUUAUCAUUCUCCGUAAGGAUGACGGUAUGAUGAUGACUGUCCUGGAUAAAGCUCAGGAGAACAAAUCAGUGGUCCUAAUUCAGACCAAGGCUGAUCCUCCACCCGUGAGUCGUGUGGAAAAGAUUAUGAAUAUAUUUAAGCUUCGGAGCCAGACCAAGAGGUACCAUCCUCCCCAGAGUAAUGGGGAGAUAAAUAAAUCUAUGGCCGGCUUCCUGAAACUCUACUGGCCGUCACACGAUACUUCUAUUUUUAACUUUAGCAAAAAACUUAUCCGAGACGAGUUUUACUACAGAUUGAGAUUAAAAUUGCCGAAACAAAGUUUACACGUUGAGGCAGAACACAUACAAAUGCAGUAACAGAAAUGGAUACAUUAAUUGUUUAAUAUGUUAAUAUAUCAAAAUGUAUUAUGAUUUGAACCGCCAUUUAACAGCAUUAUCAUCGUGUUUUUAUCACAAACUCACUUUGAUGGUUAUCAAAGACUAUAUUUAUUCGAUUCAUUUAAAUACCAAUCUCAGAUAUUAAACUUUCCCUCACACCGCCCCUCUCAAAAGAUGUAUUGCAUUGUGUCCUGUAAAAAAGAUGAAUUCAUUUUAAAUCGGUUUUAUAAAUCUUCCAGUUUAGUUUUAUGCAGAUACAUGUAGUUUUUGUCACAGUUGAUUCGAUGCACAAGGGCAUGCUCUUCGUAUGAACAGUUUUUAAAGCGAAGCAAGAUACUGACAAAUAAGUUGAUAAAACGGGACUAUCAACAGUCGCGAUAAAAGUCAGCUUUUUGUCAGUUCUACGGUCGAUACAACGACCUUGUCAGCAAAUGCAGUCUUCCUCUGCGUCGCAUGCUGACAUUUAUUGUUAGACCAAAAUGUAUCACUUAAUUGUCAACGGAUUUUCCCGUUUUCCCCGAUUACGACAAAGAGCACACGGCGAGUCUGACUGGUCAGCAGAGAAUGCUUACUCCAUGGCACCUGAUCCUACCUCUAAUUUCUUAGAGUCCCGUGUCUGCUAUGCACCUGUUUUGUUUUUUUUUUCUUUCGGGCUUUUGAUUAUAAACACUGUCCGUUAUCACCACGUGUCAUUUUUACUAGUGUUGUCAAACAGCACUCGGUUAACCGCCCAACCAUGCUAAUCUCGGAUAAUAAAACUGGUAUGCGGUAAAUUUUAUUGAAUAUUUGUGUCAUUAAAAAUAACCAUAUUUAGAUCUUAGCUAGCCAGUGCAAGAUGCUCGCGACAGACAUCAAAAUCGAAAAGAUUAAUAGAAAAGCGGUUUCAAAAGUCGUGAAAUGUAAUUGAUGUGACAUGGAAGUAACUUAUAGGGAAGGAACUACAAAUAUGUUAUCGGGACAACGUCUCGAUUGCCGUCAAGAUUAUUUUUUCCGUUUUCAAUGUUUACAAUGUUUACAAAUUAGGCAUUUCUAAUGGUCAACAACAAUUUGAGUUUCAGUCGUCGAGUUAUAAGGGAUAUAAAGAGACCCUAAUAUUCUUUGUAAUGUAAACAAAGCUUUAAUAAUGCCUUUGUUUAUAUUUCGAAAAUUCUAAAUUUGUUCUUAAAAUGAAUAUGACAAACACUAGGAACUGUAUUUAUUUGUCCAAAACGAAUAAGUAGAUUGAAAAAGUCAGCUUGAAAGAGAAUUUUACCGGUAUAUUUAACAAUUGUUAACAAAAGGAAGGCACGAUCUUUGUUGGGUAAGAACAUGUCAAAGUGGAUUUUCAAAAUUAGUUCAAGUAGAAUCAUUGUAUCAAGGAAAAGACUUUACCAAAUGCGGAAAGGUUUACGGAAGAAUGCCUUUAGAAGAAGUUUCAAUUAAAUACUUUAUAGAAAAUAACUUUUUUUUCUAAAGUAAAUACUGUACAUAACUUGUUGAAUCAUGUAGAAUACAGAAUUCAAAUUUUUAAUUUAUUAAAAAAAAAAUAUAGCAAUACAAGAUAAUAAAGUUUCUGUACAACUAUUGCACGCACGUGUCUAUUUUAUGAAAUGAAUAUUUUGUUUCCUGACAAUAAAAACUGUUUUGG